UACGGAGGGUGCGAGCGUUGUUCGGAAUUACUGGGCGUAAAGCGCGCGUAGGCGGCGCAUUAAGUCAGAGGUGAAAGCCCGGGGCUCAACCCCGGAAUUGCCUUUGAGACUGGUGUGCUUGAGUACGGAAGAGGUGAGUGGAAUUCCCAGUGUAGAGGUGAAAUUCGUAGAUAUUGGGAAGAACACCAGUGGCGAAGGCGGCUCACUGGUCCGUAACUGACGCUGAGGUGCGAAAGCGUGGGGGAGCAAAACAGGAUUAGAUACCCGGGUAGUCC
rnacentral:rRNA from 1 species